UUUAUUAAUUACAUGUGAAACAUAGCUGACUGAGCUAUUUCUAAUCCUUUGGUGAUUGAAAAUUUGAAGGUUCGAAAGACAAUGUGAUAAGCCAGAUACCUAGUCAAGUGCAGGAGCUUGCGUUCCCUGGGUCUGCAAAAGAUAUUGAGAACCUAAUAAAGAGCCAAAGUGAGUCCUACUUUGUGGAUGCUCAGCCUCAGCAGAAAGAGGAGGGGAACAAGGGAAGAAAGGGUCCUUUGUCUUCAAUUUUGAGGGCUUUUUACUGAAUAAGUAUGUAGUACUAAAAUGUAUGCUGUAAUAGCUCAUAGUGAGCGAGGAAAGUAUCGGGCUAUUUAACUAUGACUUGAGCUCCAUCUAUGAAUAAAUAAAUCAGCAUAUGAUGCUUUUGUUUUGUGUACUUCAACUGUCUGCUUAGCUAAUUUGAUAUGGUUGGCACUUGGCACGUAUAAAUAUGCUGAAGUAAUUUACUCUGAAGCUAAAUUAACUAGAUUAGAUGAGUGUAUUAUAUACAAAAGGCAUUAAAUCAGAUACAUCUUAGACAAAUUGUCACGGUCUACCAGAAAAGAAAUUGCAUUUGUUUUUGGGUCUUUCAGACUGACAAGAUCUGAAGUCUAAACAAUUCUAAGAGGUAUCAUGUAGCAAUGUCCUGCCACAAUAUUGAAUUCAAACAGAGUGAAUGAGAGGAAAGAUCCUUAAGAUCAAUUGAUCAUUGUAAAAUGAUCGUUUAUUCCAAAGUUUCAAUGAAUGAGUACACAUCACGACUUUAUAUAUAGUGUAUUGAAUCAGACGAAUUAAAAUUACUAACAUAAAUCAUUGGGUGGUUAAUAAACAGAACGAGCUUGAAUUGCUUAUUGCUUUUAGUGGCAAACAGUAUUUUUGCUUUUUGCUUAAAAUUUAAGUGCUGUGCCAGAAGGGUGAAAGUCCAAAAAAACCCUACAUAAAGAACAAUGCAAGAAAGAAGCACAGUACCAAGAAAGAUACAAUAGAGCAGAAUUAGUUAUUAAGAUAAAUUUAGUGCUUUUAACUAGAAUAACUAGUUUUGUUGAUCUAGUAAUUUAGUUAAUUAGUCUUAUAAAAAGGAUAUUAUGGAGACCAAUCAUCUAUAACAAUGAUUAUUCUUUAAACAUCAAAUUAGCCAUUAUACUUCAAUACUGUUGGCAAAUGAAGAAUUUUAAAAAUCAGGAACCAAAAAAGUUUUCAUUCAUACAGCAGAACACAUUGUUUCUGAUACAUAUAUUUGCUUACAUAAACAUAAGAGUAAGUACAACAGGCUUCUACUAUCUAACAAGUUAACCAGCCAGUUACCCAACUUAGUUAAAAAGCUUAACACAUUGUACUUUUGUCUGAAAACACAUUAAUUACUACAUAAAUUAAAGAAUGAAGUACAAUUACAGAUUGCAAUAACUGUUGGACAUUAGAAAAUUCAGUAACAUUAACAUUCCUCCGUGAAAUUUUGAAUGAACACUCCAAACAAGUGUCUAAGUCUUGGGAAGAGCUUUAGUCAAUAUAUGGUCUUCAUACCACGAACCAAUUGGGGAUAACUAAUCCUAAAUACAAGUCUUCUACUCCUAGAACACCGAAUGUUCUUUAACAAAAACACUUCACUUUACAGCCAAUAACUUUUCUUUUUGUUUGAGUUUUCUGUGUCAAUUCGUACGAAUUAAACUAUUAGCUUCAAGUAACAUGCUAAAACAGUGUAGGAAAACAAUAAACUAUUCCUUUUGCACAAAUCUAUGGUUGGGUGCUAUGGUUCUUAAUUACCAAUGCAACUAAACUUUUUUUUUUUUUUUAAUUAUAGCUUGCCUCCAUAACUCCUUUAAUUUGCAACUUAUUAAUUAGUUUGACCGUGCAGAUCAAUUACUUGUCUUUCCUCCGCCAUAGUAAUUACUAUCUCACUCCGUGUGUAUAACUAUAACUAUAAAUACCCCUAAUCUCACUCCUUGUUGUUUCAUCAUCGAUCGAGAAGUGUAAUGACCUAAGCAAUAUUCCCUACAAUACAACAAUACUACACUAUAUUAUACUAUGAUGAGAGCGCGGUAUCCGUUGUUGCUGUUGCUGGGAAUUGUUUUCCUGGCAUCAGUUUCUGUCUUAUUUGGCAUUAUACAGAAGCAGCAAUGCCUACAGAGUUGCGAGAUCGAGCGAGCAGGAUCCGUACAGGCUGCAACAAUGUAAGAUUCGUUGCAAGCUUGUUUCCUGAGCGUGAGGAGCAACAAGAAGAAAAAGAAGAAAGAGAACAUCAACGAGCACAACCCCAACCACCACACUAGGAGAGGGGACCCCAUGAGGGUAAGAAGGCGGAAAAGGAACAAGACGACCGUGAGCAACCUCGUCCGUUUCCACGUCCUAAUCACAAAUAGCACAAACAGCACAAACGGCCUCAUGGAAAUCCUGAAGAAUGUGAAGGUUCGGAUGAGUCAGUCACAAAAACGAAACAACCUUUAUCACUUCAGCUCUAACAGCUUCGACACUCUCUUCAAGAACCAAUAUGGUCACAUUCGUCUCUUCCAGAGGUUCAACCAACGUUCUCCACAACUUGAGAAUCUUCGAGACUACCACGUUGUGGAGUUCAAGUUCAACCCCAACGCCCUCUUUCUCCCCCACCAUGCUGAUUCUGAAUUCCUCUUGGUUCUCAUUAGCCGUAGUUAAUUACUACUAAUUCAACAUCACCACAUUUGCUUCUGCUUGUAUAAAUAAUAAUGGUAAUGAAUAAUUUGUUUGGUUGUUAAUUACAAGGAGAGGCUUCAUCCUGGCGAUGCCCUGAGAAUCCCUGCUGGAACCACUUACUAUUUGGUUAACCCUGACUACAAGGAAACAUUCCCGAGUAGUCACACUCGCCAUACCCCUUAACAAACCUGGAAGAUUUCAGGUACUGCCUUUUCUAAUUCAUAACUAAUUAAUUAUUCUUUUAAUUUGUUUCCAGUUGUGAAGAUCAUCAAUCUUUGUCUUUUCCGUGUAGAGUUUCUUCCUAUCCAGCAAUCCUACUUGCAAGGGUUCAGCGAGAAUAUUCUGGAGGCCUCCUUCAACGUAAGCAAGCAACACACCAUCUAAUUUGCAUUUCCAUUUAGUGGUAUGUCUAAAUGACACACUAACUAAAUAUUAUCAUUAGUUAUACUUGCUUGAUUUUAUAGACCGAAUUCGAGGAGAUAAACAGGGUUCUGUUGGGAGAGGAGGGGCAACAACAAGGCGUGCAGAGGCUGCAAGAGAGAGUGAUGGUGGAACUGUCAAAGGAACAGAUUCAGGAACUUAGCAGACAUGCCAAAUCUAGUUCAAGAAAAACCAUUACCUCCAAAAACGAACCAUUCAACUUGAGAAGCCGCAAACCUAUCUAUUCCAACAAGUUUGGUAAGUUCCAUGAGAUAACCCCCUAAAAAAAACCACAGCUUCGGGACUUGGAUAUCUUCUUAGUUAGAGAACCCAAUUAUUGAGGCUUUAAAUAAUGAUUUACUUUUUUUGUUAACAAAAAUAUAAGGAGCUCUUCUUCUACCACACUUCAAUUCAAAGGCCAUAGUGAUACUAGUGAUUAAUGAAGGAGAAGCAAACAUUGAACUUGUGAGUCUAAGAGAACAACAACAGGAAGAGGAACCUUUGGAAGUGCAAAGGUACAGAGUUGAAUUGUUUGAAGACGAUAUAUAUAUUUGUAAUCCCAGCAGCUUAUCCAUUUGUCGUCAAAUCUCAAUUUCCUUGCUUUUGGUAUUAAUGCCGAGAACAACCAGAGAAACUUCCCUGCAGGUAUGUAUCAAAAUCAAAUAAAAUAUACUGUUGUUACUUUUUUGUUUUUAUUGCUGUGAGAGUGGAAUGUAUCGGCCAUGUAACUAUAAUAAUUUGAGCCCCACCCUUGCUUCUACUAUGAAUAAAUAAAUCGAGCAUACGAUGCUUGUGUUUUGUGUCCUUCAACUGUAUAAUUUUAUAUGGUUGGCACGAAUCAAUAUGUUAAAGUAAUUUACUUUGAAUCUAAAUUAUCUGAAUUAUGACGUGUAUUAAAUGAAAAAAAGACAUUAAAUUAGAUACAUCUUCGACAAAGUGUUACGGUCUACCAGAAAAGCUAUUGACUUUGUUUUCAAGUCUGCCAGACGACUGAAAAGAUGUUUGAAAGCCACAUAUACAACAAAUACAUAAAACGCAGGCAAGAAGCAAUAUUCAAAACAUCACUCAUUCAGAGGGCUCCCUUUGAUUGUGAUAAAAUAAAUUGGAAAAUUGUUAUUGGUGGAAGAGAAUUAGAAAGUUGUUUGGGGAGCGCACCCUGGAUGACCAUUGACCCGGCCAAUCAUCCUCCGCUACUGCGGCACCGCCUCCAUGAUCCUCGCCGAGUUAAUGGGCUCCAUCAUCACCUCAGCGUCGCCCUCUGCAUCUCCGAUUGCCUCCGCUGUCUCCUCCUCCCCCCAAACUCAAACUAGCGAAGGAAAGAAGUCCAUGAAGCGCAAAGUUGGAUUAGAUCACCAAGUUCAAUUUGGCAAUCACCUUGUCCUUCGAGGAUCAACAAUGUGCCCUUGAAUUCGAAGCAAUGUGGAAUUCGAACAAGUGAUCCAUCCCUAUCCUAUUAGCGUCAGUCUAAUUCCACUCAUAUUCUUCCAUUAUUACAGCUAUAACGUUUUUUCAGAAUAUAUUAAUGUGAUUACACAUUCUUUUAGGAUUGAAUUACUACUACAACAGCUUCUUAAAAAUAAAGAGAAAUAAAAAGCAAUAUUAAUUAUUUCAUAGGAUUUUAUAUUUAUAAAUCUAUACGCAGGAAAGAUUAAAAAAAAGUAUGCAAUAAAGUUAUAAAAUAUAAAAAUUACAUUCUAAACUUUGAUUAAAACUAUUGAAAUAAUGUAUAAGAUUAUUGAAAAUAUUAAAAACAUAUUUCAGAGGUGUUGAAAAUAUUUAAUAUUAAAAUGUUAUUGAAAAUAUUAAAAACAUAUAAUAUAUUAAAAUAUAUUUUUAUUUGUUGAACUUACAAUAUUUUAUUAAAAAUAGCUUUUAUGAUAUUUCGAUUCUGAAAUAUUGAAAAUAUUUAUAAUAAAAUAUAAAAAAAUGAUUUUUAAAAAAUAAAAAUAAAAUAUUUUAAAAAAAUAUUAAAAUCACAUAUUUUGAAAAAUAUAUAAGUAAAAAAUUAAGAUAAUGUAUUUUUUUAAAUAGCUUUAUAAUAUUUUGAUUAAAAAAGUAUAGACAAAUAUCAAAAUAUAGCAGUAAAUUCUUAAAAUAUAUAUAGUAAAUUUAAAUUAUGUAAACUUAAAAAAUAAAAUAAAAAUAACAUCAAAACAUUUAAAAAUAUAAAUUAAUUCAAAUAUAUUGAAACUAAAAUUUAUAGGUAAAUUAUAUUAUGCCUAAAAAGUGAGUUAUUCUAAUAUUAUUAUAUUUGUAAAAUUAUGAAAAUAAAAUUGAAAAGUAAAAGAAGGAAAAACAACACCUCUCUCUGAUAUAACGACAACAUUAACAAGUGGAGUGGUGCGGAAAGUGUAUUCUUCCUUUGAAGAGAGAUCCUACGAGUAGCUAUGGAACUUUAGUUUUUCCAAUGCCAUCUGCACCAAUUUCAAACCAUAUAUAGAUGGAGGAUAACACUGCAAUAUGCAACAAACUAUGAGUACUUGAUCAUGGUAUUAAUUAACACAUGCUUCUACAUUCAAACAAGUAUAAUAAUGAACACAUCACUGAAACUCUCACAUAUACAACUAUACAUAAAGCACUGACAAAGAAAUAAUUUAACAAAUCAAAAGCAAUAAAAAGAAAUAACACAAAACAAAAAUACAAGAAACAAUAUUCAAAAAGCAUUAAUUAAACAUCCGAGGCCGCAUUGACAAUUUCCCUGACAUCAAAUUGAGACAACACCGAGCAAGGUAAAAGAGCUACUCACAAGAUGCUAUGUUUGGUUAAAAAAACACUAAUUGUGUUUGGUUAUCGUUCAUCACACACCUAAAAGAGAUAGAUUUGCACAUAAUAAUAACCUGAUUGAAUUAAAAUGUUGUCAAUGAUUUUUCAACCAUCUAAACAACCAAUUUGAAAUCCUUUACAGUCAAUACUUAAAUGUUGUACAGUAAGAAUGGUAUUUGGGCAAUGAUACAUUAAACCUAAAACAUUUUUUUAAAGGAAAAUAUCAACCAAUUUGAAAUCCUCUACAUGCAGUCAAUACUUAAAUUUUAACAUUGGUAACUACCCAACAAUAUAUAAACCUAAAACAAUCAUAUUACAGUCAAAUAUCAAUUUUAUAGAUCAACAUCAAUUCCAAAUAUAAUACCUACGAUAAAAGAAAAUAUGUGCUAAUUUAAUACGUAGUACUAUUUAAAUAAUUUUAAAGUAAAUUUAAUAAUUUUUAAUAUGUAUAUCCAGGUGCAAAUUUUAGAUAAAUGCUUUCUAGCUUUUAAUUAUAAUUACUAAAUUUUUUUAUAUCUAUUCAUUUUACAUCUUUCAUCCAUUAGACAAACCCAUUUCAUAAACUUCUCUUAAUUAUGUUAUAAUUGUUAUUCUUUAAUAAUGAAUGAUUGUUCUUACAUGGUACAAUUGUAUGAGGGAAUUUGAUCAAUAUAGGUUAUUUUUUAAAAUUAAAUAUCAUUUUAGGGUGAUUUUUAAACAAUUUACAAGACUGAAUAAUUUUUAAGUGGUGUCACUAAAUCAUUCACAUACCUAAAUUGGUGACACUUCCUUAAAAUAACACCACCCGGAGAAACUGAUGAAUUGGCGUUGCCAAUUUUCUACGUAAGGAUCAUCUAGGCUGAUAAAUUGUUUAAAGAACACCUUGAAGUGGUAUUUUAAAAAGUUUUAACAAAUAACCUAUAUUAAUCAAAUUGGCCUUGUAUGAUGUCCACUCGAUGUUUUCGUUCUUGUUUUGAUAGGCACCCAUUACUUAUCUAUAUAUCCUCCGGCAUAUAUAGUUAUAUGGUUGUGUACGUAUUUUUGUUUUAUUGAUGGUACCGGAUGGAGUAGCAUGCAUAAGAGUAUACAGUCUCUUUGGAUAUAUAAUGCAUGCGAAGCCGAGAACAGAGACCGAUGUAAAGAGCAAAACGUUAAGUAUCCUUUCCAAAACCAAUUGUCUAAGUGUUGGAUUACAAGUAGGAGUUAAAGUUUCAUAUCGGAUAAAAAUAAAAAAGUUGAGUACCAUUUAAAUAAGAAGAAGACCCAUAAACUUAUGUCUCAAGAUUUUGGGUUAAAAUGUAGUAUUAAGUUCUCUUAUAUGGUAGCUAACUACUAUUCUGAGAGAAUUUGUCGGUCAAAUUUUUUUUGUACGAUAUCAGCCAAAAGUAUUUUUUACCGAUAUCGGCUAAGAUUUUUUUAGAUGAUGUUGGUUAAAGUUAUUUUCUCACUGACGCCAAUCAUGAGAAUUUUUUGCUGACGUUGGCCAAGGAAUUUUUGGUCGUUGUCAUCACGGUUUUUUCAAUUGAUGUUGACCAAUGGUUUUUUUGUCGACAUCGGCUAGAUUUUUUUUAUUGACAUCGGUCAUGACUAACUCUUAAGUAUACACCUGCUAUGGUUUUUCAAUCGACAUCAACUUGGUUUUUCCAGCCAAUAUCAGCCAAAGCUAUUUUUUAACCAAUAUCAGCUAGGGUUAUUUUUCAAUUGAUAUUAACUAGGGUGUUUUAGCUGAUGUCAACUAGAUUUUCUUAACCGAUGUCCGUUAGGAUUUUUUUGCUGACAUCAACUAGGGUUUUCUGAGUGACAUCAGUCAGAGCUAUUUCUUAACCACAUUAGUUAGGUUUUUUAGUUGAUGUUGGUUAGGAUUUUUUCUACUAACAUUAGCUAGGUAUUUUUGACUGACAUCGGACAUGACUAUUUUUAGUUGAAAUCAAUUAGGUUCUUACAAUCGACAUCAGUUAGAGCUAUUUUUUAGCCAACAUCAGUCAAGGCUAUUUUACAGCUAAUGUUGGGUAGGUUUUUUGUUUGAUAUUGGUCAGGGCUAUUUUUAGCCAACUUCGACAAAGGAUUUUUCGAUUAAUGUUGACCAAUGAUGUUUUUCGGCCGACAUUGAGUAGGUUUUAUUGGUCAGCAUCGACCAAGUUAUUUUUUAGCUGAUAUUGGAUAGAUUUUUUUGUCAACGCCUGCUAGGAUUUUUUAGGCCGAUGUUGACCAAAAAUAGUCUUGGUCAAUAUUGUUCAAAAAGAUUCUAACCGGUGUCGACCAAACAAACCUUAGCAGACGUUAGUCAAAAAAACCUAGCUAACAUCGGCUGAAAAAUAAACUCAACCAACGCUAGUCGAAAAAUAGCUCUGACUAACGUCAGCUGAAAAAUAUUUUCGGUAUAUUUUGACAAAAAAAAAACCCUAUUUGAUGUCGAUCGAAAAAUAGUCAUGGUUAAUGUUGGUUUAAAAACACCACUGCUUGUGAUCAGACAAAACAACCAUAGUUAAAAUUAUCAAUAUUUUGUAUUUUUAAAUUAUUAAAAAUUGAAAAAUAUUUUUUAAUUAAUAUUUCAAAAUUACAUUGUGUUUGUUUUCUAUAAAAUUUAAUAUUAAAAUUUCAUCUAUUUAAAAUAUAAAAUUAAAAUUUUACAUAUGAAGAAAAAUGAAUUAUCCUAUUCAAAUAAAGAAUUUAAAAUUGAAAAAAUUUAAAUUAAUUUAUUUAAAUAAAACUUUUAAAAAAUGAAAGAAAUUAAAAUUAAAACAAUUCAAAUUCUAUAAACAUUUCAAAAUUGCUUAUAGAGACACAAGAUUACUAUCUACCAGAAAAGCAAUCAACUUUGUUUUCAAUUCUUCAACUGCUCAAUUCUGUGCUUAAUUACUUUGAUACGCAUGCUGGUUGGCACGGAAUUCAAUUAAAAAAUGUUUUUUUAUUACAAUUAAAUUAAUACGAAAAUUUUAUGAGAACAAAAUUAAUAUCUUUUAAAAUUCUACAAAAUAUCAAAUAUAUUUUAUUCAUAAAUAUUUCACCAUGUUUGUAAUUAAACACGAAAAUUUGAACUUUAAUUAAAUAACAUGCUAUCACUUGCAGUUGGGAAAAUAAUCAACUAAUUACGUUUAUAAAAUUCUAGAUUGAGUCCUCCUUGGUUCUUACCAAGUCAGGUAAACUUGUUUUCUCCUUACUUAGAUCCGGCACGGGCUUAAAAAGUAAAGUAUAACAUGAAUCAAGAUAAAUCUCUUGCGGCAAAUUAAGUUAAGAUACUUUAAAUUAGUGAUAAUUUUUUUUUAAAAUAUUUGAAAAAUAGAUCACUCGUACAAUCAAGAAUGUGGAUCUAUUAUUGAGAGAAUUGAAUCAUGACUUAGUGAUGGUGAAGGUCUGAGUAGUUUGCACAAAUUUUUAAGUUCUAAAUUUUUUUAUCAUCAUUGUAAAAACAAUCAUCAUUGAGAAAAUUAAAAGUUUUAGAUGAAAAGCGUAAUUAAAAUUUUAAUAAUUUAUUUUUUUAAGAAAAAUGAAGAGAUUCAUAAUUGGGUUAUCCAUUUAAAUAUCAAAUGAUAAUGAACAACAUUUUACUUUAAGAGGGGGCGGUGCCUGCAGAUGUCCUUGGACUUGCCCCUGCUCUGGCUGCCGACCACCGCAACCUGAGGGAGGUCGAUGGCGGAGCGGCUCCCCUCGCGGCUGAAGAUGUCCUGGAGUGUAGAGAGAGAAGAAGCGUCGAGAAAAAGUGAGCAACGUAAGGUCUCAAUGUGAACAUCAAGGGGUAUGUAAGAUAGAGUAAAUCUAACAAACCAAUUUUUAUUGUUUUUGAAAUAAGGGUAAAACAACUUUAAAUCUAACAACACAAAUUUUGUCAAACACGUUUUUACAGACUGACUGACAACCACCCAUAGGUACUGUUAAGCAACCGCAUAACACCCUACUUCACUUCACUUCACUUAUCCACUAACUGUUCAAGAUCGCCGCAUCCGUACGUAUAUAUCUAAAACUAAAAGGACUGGACCCCAAAUGCCAUGCACAACAACACGUAUUCACCAAUGUGUCCACCUUGCCGCUCAAAUCGCUCAUAACCUCAUCCCACGAGUCCAAUGCGAACCAACCCUAAAUAAAUAACUAAAAUAAGACCCGUAUUCUUUUCAACCACCCCAAUUUUGUUCAACAAUUCAACACACGUCACUCUGCAUGCCCAUCCUGUGGCCAAAUUUUCAUGCAAGUUAACCAAAGUCGCUUUUUCUCUUCUGUAACUAUAUAUAUAUAUAUAUAUAUAUAUAUAUAUAUAGCUCUAAUCUCACACCGUGUUUUCAUCAUCACACAAGAGCGAGCGCAACAUUAUUCGAGUACGUAGCUUAACAAUAUUUUAAGCAAUUGCUGCUACAAUGAUAGCGCGGUUUCCUUUGUUGCCGUUGCUGUUGCUGGGAAUUGUUUUUCUAGCAUCAGUUUCUGUCUCAUUACAGGUGAAGCCGCCGAGUCACCACGAGUGCCUCCAGAGUUGCGAGAGUGAAACGGAUCCAUACAAGCGGAAAGCAUGCAAGCUUAGUUGCAAGUUCGUUCCUGAGCACGGGGAGCAACAACAUGAAGAAGAAGAAAGAGAAAGAGAACAUCCACAACCACACCCACCACACGAGGAGAGAGGACGUAGAGAAAGAGGACGCCAGGAAGGUGAGAAGGAGGAAAAGGAACAAGACGAGCGUGAAUUACAACCACGUCCAUUUCCACGACCAGAGGAGCAUGAAGGAGAACAGUGGAAAGGAAGGCAUCGUCAUGAAGACCCGGAAGAGAGGGCGAGAAUGAGACUGAGGGAAGCAGAAAGAAUAGAGAGGGAAAGGGAGGAACAGAGGGUGAGGGAGGAGGAAGAGAAACUCCGGCGACGUGAGAAGAAGGAACAACGGGAAGAGAAAGAAGAAGAAGGUCAAGGUUCGGAAGACUCACACUCAAAAAGACAGAACAACCCUUUUCACUUCAGCUCUAACAGGUUCCAAACGCUCUUCAAGAACCAACAUGGUCACCUUCGCGUCCUCCAGAGAUUCGACCAACGCUCCCCACAACUUGAGAACCUUCGAGACUACCGUGUUGUAGAGCUCAUGGCUAAACCCAACACCCUCUUUCUCCCCCACCACGCUGACGCUGAUUUUCUCCUCCUUGUCCUUAGCGGUUAGUACACUUAACUAAUUACUACUACUAAUUAAACAUCGAUCAUCACUUUGCUUCUGCUCUUAGUACUAGUUAAUGGUAAUCAAUUUUACUAAUUACAGGGAGAGCCUUAAUUAACUUGGUGAAACCCGACGACAGAGACCCCUACUACCUUGACCGUGGUUAUGCACAAAGAAUCCCUGCAGGAACCACUGUCUAUUUGGUUAACCCGGACAAGAAGAAAGAUCUCAGAGUGAUUAAACUCGCCAUACCCGUUAACAAACCUGGCAAUUUUGAGGUACUGCAUGCCUUUUUCAUUAUGACAGAUUAGUUAAUUAAUUCUUCUAAUUAAUUUAUUUCCAAAUGUGAAGUGAAUAUCAAUCUUUGUCCUUUUCUCUUUCUCUAGGAUUUCUUCCUAUCUAGCACUCAAGACCAGCAAUCCUACUUGCAAGGCUUCAGCGAGAAUAUUCUGGAGGCUUCCUUCAAUGUAAGCAAGCAACACAUGCACCAUCUAAUUUGCAUUUCCGUUUAGUGGUUUGUCUAAAUGUCAUACUAAUUAAAUAUUAUCAUUAUAUUUGCUUGUGUGCGCAAUUGGUUUUAUAGACCAAAUUCGAGGAGAUAAACAGGGUUUUGUUUGGUGGAGAGGGGAGGCGGCACCAGCAAGAGGGAGUGAUUUUGGAACUAUCAAAGGAACAGAUUCGGGAACUGAGCAAGCGUGCCAAAUCUAGUUCAAGGAGUACUAAUUCCUUCGAUUAUGAACCAUUCUACUUGAGAGGCUCCCAAAUCUCUUCCAACAACUUUGGAAAGUUCUAUGAGAUCACCCCUGAGAAGAACCCCCAGCUUCGGGACUUUGAUAUCCUCCUCAAUACUGUGGAUAUCAACGAGGUAAGUGCAAAAACCAUGUAGAUCUAGACAAAGUGAACUGCACUAUUGAGUUCUAUUCACUCUCUUCUUAAUUAGUUAGUUAUACUAAUUAUUGAGACUAAACAAAUACAGGGAGGUCUUCUUCUGCCACACUACAAUUCAAAGGCCAUAGUGAUACUAAUGGUUACUGAAGGAGAAGCAAACAUUGAACUCGUUGGCCUAAAAGAACAGCAACAGGGAGAGGAAACAAGGGAAGUGCGAAAGUAUAGAGCCGAGUUGUCUGAAGACGAUAUAUUUGUAAUCCCAGCAGCUUAUCCAUUUGUGGUCAACGCUACCUCAAACCUCAAUUUCGUUGCUUUUGGUAUCAAUGCUGAGAACAACCAGAGGAACUUCCUUGCAGGUACUAUACAUAUAUAAUAUUGAUUAUUGAAUACCCUGUUGUUACUUUUUGUUGUUUUAUGGCAUGUGGAAGCAUGCUGAUUGGGUUAUUUAAUUAUUUCCAAUUCUUGGUGCGUGUGAUUGAAAAUUUGAAGGUUCGAAAGACAAUGUGAUAAGACAGAUACAAAAACAGGUGAAGGAGCUUGCGUUCCCUGCUGGGUCUGCACAAGAUAUCGAGAAUCUAAUAAAGAACCAGAGGGAAUCCUAUUUUGCUGAUGCUCAGCCUUUGCAAAAGGAGGAAGGGAAGAAAGGGUCCUUUGUCUUUUGAAUAUGUAUGCUUAGGAGACUAGGAGUUCACAGCGAGCGAGGAAAGUAUAGGGAUAUGUAACUAGAAUAACUUGAGAUCCACCUUUCUACUACUAGUAAAUAAAAUAAAUAAAUCGAGCAAGAUGGUUUUGUUUACUAUCUGCUAAGCAAUUUUGAUAUGGUUGGAACGUACAUAUAUUUACAGAUCCCAAAUUAUCUGAAUAAUGACAUUUAACUCAAAAUUUUGGGAAGAUUAAAAAUGUAAAAUAAAUCUCUUAAGAGGAUAAAAGACCAAAAUAAAUAUUAGUAAAAAUAAAAAAAGAUAAAGAAUAAAAUUAAAAUAUAUUUUAGCAUUUUUUUAUAAUUUCCAUCAAAUGUACGAGUUCAUUUUUUUGUUCUUUAAUUUUUAAAUAACUGAUAAAAGAAAAACAGAUAUUUCCUUCAAAGUUCCGAUAAUGGACAGUUAUCUCUCGAACUAUAUUUUUAAAUAACUAAUAAAAGAAAAACUGAGAUAUUUCCCUCAAAUUUCGCUGAUCAUGGACAGUUUUCUAUUUACUUUUGAUUCUACAACAGUAAUUUGUUCAGAUUCUUUCUUUCAUUUCCAUAUAUAUAAAGAUCCUUUUUCUCAUGAGUAACUUUACCAUUAAGGUUUUACUGAACCUAUAAAUUCUCACCGAAGUUAAUCUUCAAUUCCAUCGUCCAGACCCAUCCAUUACUCUUCCAUCCACUCUUAUUUGCUUAGCGUGCAUCUCGGAAAAAUACUCUUUCUAUUCAUUUAUUAUCUCAUUCUCUUCCAUUAUCCAUUCAUCUUUUUCCAUUCAUAUCAUAAAGUCUUCCAUUUCAUGGUGACAAGAGCUUAAAUCUUCAUUGUUGGGCGUCUUCCAUUUCAUGGUGACAAGAGCUUAAAUCUUCAUUGUUGGGCGCCCCGCAUUUCUAUUGUGCUUAAUUGUUUAUUUAUUAUGGUUUAACCAUUCAUAUAUUAUUUAAGUAAUGAUACAUUAAAAUGAUUAUAUUUUUUUAACCGGGAGAAAGUAUCUAAAUGAAAUCAAUUAGAAAUAAAUUAAUAUUGUUUAACUUAUUUUAUGUAUCUUUAAUCUUAAUGUUUAAAAGAAAAUCAAUUAGAAAUAAAUUAAUAUUGUUUAACUUAUUUUAUGUAUCUUUAAUCUUAAUGUUUAAAAGAAAAAAAUAGAUAAAUUACUAGAUAUUUUGAAUUAUCUUUUUAUCAUCAUCUUAUCUUUUACUGUUCUUAUCUUUAAAUCUUUUAUAUUUCUUAUCUUUAAAUCUCUAAUUUUUUUUUAAAAUCUCUUAUCUUAUUAUUUCUUACCUCUUUUAUCUUAUUAUUUCUUACCUCUUUUAUCUUGUAUUUUAAAUUCUUUAUCUAUUACUUGUAGAUUGCUUCACUUACCAAUAAGAAAAGUGUUUUAUAUUUUCUAGUAGGCUCAGGUCCAACUUUCUUCACAUGUAUUUAGAAUGGUAGGUACCCCACAAAGUCACCUAAAAACAUAUUUUGUUGUGUAGCAAUCCGAAGGGGAUGAGUCCCAAAUGAAUCACAACCUCCUCAUGCAGAACUAUUUUCUGAACUAAAUCCUGAACCUCCAGAGGAACCAUAGUAUAGAUAGUAGACCGGUUCCAAGAAUCAUUUACAUAUAUAUCACAGAAUUUCAAUUGGGUAUCAACAAUAUGCACAAACAAAUCCUCACUGCAUAAUUUUUUUUUUCGUGAAACCACAAAUCAAACCAGAAGAAUACAUCACCAUGCCCCACACAAAACUUAAAACCCUCUCAAAGACAAUCAACAACUUUCAAAAUAUAUCUAAAAGUGUAAGAAUUCCCAUUUUGGAAGUUGGCGUUUAAGAUAUGACCAUCAUGAAGGUAGUUUGAGGAUAAGAUUUGAACCCAUAACUUGUUGAAUUCGUUCAUGAGAGCCCACGCAAGCUUGCCCAGGAGGAAGAUAUUUUGCUCCCUUGCCCUAUGAAUCCCCAAACCCUCUUUCUUCUUAGGCUUAGAAAUAAUCUCGUAAUCAACCCAAUGAGAAGAGUUGCUACCCCCCAAAUGAACUUUCUUACCGAAGUAUCAAUAGCUUUGCAAGUACCCUUUGGAAGAAGAUAGUUUUGCAUGACAAAUGAGAGGAUAUAGGCCAACAUUGAUUGAGCUAAAGUCACCCUGCCAGCCCUGCUCGAGAGCUUGAACUUCCAACCUGCCAAUUUUUCCGGGAUGUGAUUCAGAAUGAAGUUGAAUUCCCUCCUUCCGUGAAAUAUCCUCCUUAUUUGUAAUUGCAUCAGGAGUGAUAUUGUCACCAUCAAUUUAAAUCUGAUGUCUAGUUAAUCUAAUAAUUUAGGAUUACUAAAUUGUCAAAACUCACUUAUUUUUUUAGAAGAUUGUUUGUAUUUUUCAUUACACUUAGAGAUACAUAUAUAUAUAUGUAGACAUCAUCCUAUCAAGUCAACAUUUAUUUUUCUUAAUUUAGUUUCUUUUGCAAAAUGAAUAAUCGUUUGAUUUGUAAAUCAUUCUGGUUUCUUUUAUUUUGUACUCCAUUUUGAGAUAAAAUAAAUUAAAUAUGUUUAAAAUAUACAAAUAAUUUUCACAGAUAACUAAAGACAAUGUUUUUAUAUAAACAAUAGAUGUAUUAAUUAGAAGUGCUGUAGAGUUAAUUAAGAAUUCAUCUUUCCUUGUGCACACAAAUCAACUCUUCAAAUCAAACUUGGCUUUAAUAGACUAAUUUUUGGGUUUUCCUAGUUUAAUAAAUUUUGGUUAUGAUUUCAUAAUUAUUUUUCAUUGUUGUCGUCUCAAUUGCGACACUAUUUUAAACUAAUAUCAGAGCACUCCUGUUAAAUAUUUCGGAAGAAAACCAAAUGAUGAAAAUGACUUUAAUUUGUGUGUUAUUGAGAUAAACUCAAUUGGUUUAAUGACUGGAUAUAAACUGUAUAUAAGUACACGAAUUUGAUCCCUCGAAAUAUUAAUGUGUUCCUUCUGCCCGUUUCCCAUUUGUUUACCUUCUCUUUCUUUUUCCCUUUAUAAGGUCUAUUAUGAGCCAUGAGCCUGCUCUUUUUCUUCUCUUUUUUUUUAAAGAAGCCAGAGCCUUCUCUUAGUCUCUUAGGAAAAAACAUGUUUUAUGCAUUAUUUAGUUUAAAUGAGUUAUGAUAAAAAAAAUUAAAAAUAAAACUUAAGAGCAAUAGCAUAGGUUCUUCUAGUAUUAUUGUUUUAAUUAAUUAAAAUUAAAGUUUCAUCUUGAUAAUUACUUUUACGGUAAAAAUUGACAUUGAAGAACAACGAUCUAUAUAUGAUAGGGUAUUUAAAUUUUAUCCUCUUAAUUUUACUUAAGAAAAUUGUUUGGGAGAGGCAUAUGUUAGAGGUGGGAUACAUGUCAAUAUGACCGGAUUUGGACAAAUUAUUAGUGUUUGAUAAUUUGAUUUUAAUUAACCAAUUUUAUAAAUAUUUAUAAAUACUCAAGGUCAAGGGUUAUAUAUUACAUGCAAAUGUUAUUGGACAUCUUAUUAGGGUAAAAAAAAUAUUAGCAUAUAUUAGUGUUUUUCAAGCAAAAUAAAGUACAAAUUACUGGACCCUAACCUCGUUAACGUACGUAUAAUUUGAAGCAAAAAAAGCCUAUGUAUGCAAUAUAAGUUGAAUAUAGCCUUAAGAAAGAACGAGAGAUGUAUUACUCAAUAAGAAAAGAAGAAAACCAGAAUAUUUUGAAGGUAAUUUUAUUAUCAUUAUUGCAAAAUAGAAGGAAAGAGACCGAAAAAGGACACAAGUAUAAUGCGUCCUAAUUCAUGAGAAUGCCCUGUACUGUGGAUUUACAUUAAUUAAAUCGCUCCGCCAAUAUUCAUGUCUUGUUCUGGCUUUCUCCACACCGGGCUCUCAGGUGAUAGGGCGGCCGGGCGGUGUUCGUAGUCUUCCUCAGUUGGUACAGGAUACCGAUGACCACCACCAUGACCAACACUAUCUACAUGAUUCAGGCCAUCUGCAAUGUAGAGAGAAAUUUCAAAAAAAUUACAGUGCCUAGAAAUAAUUGCUUUUUAAGAAUUGUAGAUACAUAGAUGAAGAAAAUAUAUAUUAUCUUUAAAAGAAUCAUAUGUAAAUACAGGGAACAUAUAAAAUAAGUUACAUGAUCAUAUCUUUGCAAAAGUGAAUUAUGGAAUUGAAAUACUAACUGUUAACUUAUGUAUGCAUAGUUUUUUUUUACUCCACAAAAAAAUAUAUUGAUGAUGGUACAAGGUACCAUAACCCAUAUACAAAAAGACGAUAAGACUUAACCAGGUUAGAACCCAUUUAUGUCAGAAUGGAAUAAAAAGAUACUAACCAAAAAACUGACCUAACAAAAUAAAUGAAGAACCUUUAAAUUGGAACGCCUUCCUGCUAUAGCAAUUCUAAGAACUUAUGUAUGUAUAGUUAAAAUUAGAACAUAUGUGAUUUAAAAAAAUUUUACACACAAGAAUCGAACAUUAGUUAUUUGGCUAAAUGAAUAAUUUUCACUCACUUGAAUGUAACAGAAUCAUACAUUAUUGCAUAAAUCCUUUGAUUAACAUAUAUGUGACUUUUAAAUCAUCAUAUGGUGUUAUAAAUAAUUCAUUUUUAGCAAAAAUAAUGCAUUAAAUGUUUAAGAUGUAUGCUUUUAUGUUAUGCGUUUUAGUAAAAUGAUAUAAAACUAUUUGAAGUACCACGCUAAAAAGAGAAAAAAAAGAAUAUAGAUAAUAAUAAGAGAAACUGAUGUUGUCACAUAGUUAUAGAACCAUAAUAAAAUGAGUAUAGAUAAUUUACCGUCACCGAAGUCUAUUGGGUAUUUGCACACUUUAUCACACCACCAAUUGCAGUAUGAUGAGGGGAAUAUGCAACCAUGCCAGCAAUAACCGAAGCAUUCAUCUCGGACAACGGCGUAGGGCCUCCUCGCCUCAACCCCGGCAGCGACUACAAGGCACACCAACAACAACAACGCAACGUUUUUGUUUGCCAUCUUUUGAUGUUUUCGAUCUGUUGCUUUUGUUGUUGUUGGUUAAUUUGUUUUGCCUCCUUCCCUGCCCUUGCUUACGAAGAAUGGUAGGUAUAUAUAGCUGCUUAAAUGGCUCCUCAACCACAAAUAAUUAAUGUCUUGGUUUCCUUGCUAAAGUUUGGGAUUCUUGUUACCAAGUGUCAUAAUUUUAAUCCAAAGAAAUUAUAUGGUAACUAAUUAUAGUCAAAUUUAGCUAUUCUUUCGUCUUUCGUUAACCUCCGGCCGAGGUUGUUUUUUUACAAAUGACAUUUUUCAUCGGCUUAUAGAGAGCACAAAAACAGCGGAUUAAUUACGUAUGCUAAUUUUAGCCCAAGAAAUUGGAAAUUAACUAAUUAAUCAUCUAAAAGGUGCUUUUCUUCCACCUUUCCUGGUCCAAGGCUAAUUUGGCAGCGUAAUGAAGUUGUCACAUGCCAAAUUGAGAGGCUAUAUAUGUUGUGAACCAAACUAGGUAUAAAAAAAACGUAUAACUAACCUUUGCCCUUUUUUAGCAACACAAGACUAACUGGCUAUAUAGUUCAUGAACAACAAACAAUAUUGUCUUGGUUUGUUGCUAAAAUGUGUGGUUCUUAUUAGUUUUUAGUAUCCUGAUUUUGACAUAAGAAAUUCUAAGUUAAUUAACCUAUUUAUCUAAUUAUUAUAUAAAAAAAUAAGGUUUUUCUUACAACCAACUACAAAUUAAGCAACUACCAUAAAAAAACAACUAAAAAUUAAGCAACGUAUUUGUUCGGCAGCUCGUGAUGACAUUUUUGUCAUUCAUUUAUAUCCUUCCCGUCUAUAGAUACAGAACAUAUAUUCAUUGUGCUAUUACUAUUGUUACUAUAUAUUCAUUUCUUACUCCAAAAAAAAGAAUUCAAUAUUUAUAGUUUUACAAAAGAGUUGUGAUUUGUGACAGUCUGAAAUAUAAUUCUUGGAAGCUAAAAACUCCUACAAAUAUUUUUUUCGGCGUUUACAAUCACUAAAAACAACCUUUAGUGAAUAAUAUUCGUUAACGGCUAGUAUUCUUGCUUAAAAAAAUAAUAAACCAAUACUUGUGGUUGAAUCCACCAAAAAAUGUAUUCUUAUAUAAAUAUAAUUCAACGAUUAAAUUAAUAAAAAAACAUAUUUUAUAUUAAAUUAUAAAAAUAAUAUAAUAAUUAUUAAAAUUAUGUGUUAUGAGAGAGAUUAAAUUAUAUCUGUAUAAUUUUUAAUACAAUAUUUUUAAUUGAAUAAUAUUUUUUUAAAACUCAUUAAAAUUUUCUUUCACAUAUGUAUGUAUACAUAUAUUUAUUUAUUUCUCUUUAUGCGCAUAUAAUUUUAUUUUAUCCAUUGAAAUUGAACUUGACAACAAAAGAGUUUACUCUUUGUAUAACUUUUGAAACUUAAAAAAGAAAGAAAAACAAAGUGUAAUUGCUCAAAAAAGAAAACAAGAGAAUCAAGAACAUGGAUAGAUAAUAUUUUAAUGGUGUUAUUAUUAUGAUAGUUAAUUACAAGCAGAGGAAAGGAGGAUAUAAGGACGUGUAUAAAAUGUUCUUGUUCAUGAUAAAGCCCUAUUUUAAGAAGCUUCAGUAAGUGCAUUUUGCCAAUUGUGCUUCGCCUCUUCUUUUUGCUUCCAUCUUACUUCAACUUAUAUCUGUGAUUGAACCUUCCUUGAUGAUAGUGAGUCUUGUUCUUUCACUGUUUGUGGUUGAACCUGAUCAGUUUCUGCAUCAUAGAGUGAUAGAGAUAUUUUAAAAUUACAAAGUCAAUAAAUAAUAAAUGUUUAUAACAUUAUACAUAGAUUUUUCUUUUGAAAGUAUAGCAUUAUGCAUAGAUAUAAACAUAAUUAAUCCCUUCUAUUUAUAUAUAAAAAUUAGAAUGACUAUUUUGAACGAGUAUUUUUAUUUAUUUAUUAUAAAUUUUAAUUAUAUAUAUAAGAAAUAUUAGAGUAAAUAAAACAAUAAUGCCAAUAUACUAUGUUUGUGUUAUCCAUCUUCAUUCAAAAUUUAUAUAUCAUGUCAAAUUUUCAAACAAUUCCAAUUGAAAUUUUUUUUAAAAAAAAAGUGUCAUCUAUAAUAAUGCCUUUUUUCUGUAAGGAUUUUAUUGUUAGACAAUGAAACCUAAACCCUAAAAUGAAGAUGAAAAUGAGUUUAUUAAUUAAUAUUCAACAUGAUUGUUCUGAGCGCACAAGCCAUACCACAAAAGGCUGCACACCAACUACUAUGGUCACCCUUGCAGUGUUCAUUGAUGCAAUUAAUUAUUAACGCACUCAUUAUGUGGGACGUAUGUGUUGUAUUGGGCAUUAGCACUUCCAGCGACCAUUAGGCCCACCACCAACAACAAUGCAACGUAUUUGUUUACCAUUUCAGUUCGCUCGAUCUUUUAUUUGUUGACUGUUGUUUAUGGUGGUUAAUUUUGUCUUCUCCUCCUUCCCUGACCUUAGUUUUGAAAGAUAGAUAAAUGGUUCGUGAUGAAGCACAAACAAAUAUAGAAAAAAUCUGGUAUUAUAUAUAGUUUGCCCUAAUUUUCUUAAUUUUGUUAAAAUUAAGACUCUGAUGUGUACGGAAUAACUAACAAGAACCCCAAAUUAUAGCAACAAACCAGUUUGUGGUUCCUGAACCCAUUUACGCAACUAUAUAUAUACAGCUAUAUCUAUCUUGGAAAACUAACAACAGGGCAAGAAGGAAAAUUAAACCAUCAACAACAACAGAAGAAAAAAAAAGGAGCCAACCGAAAUGGCAAACAAAUACACUGCGUUGUUGUUGGUGGUGUGCCUUAUAGUCGUUGCAAGUGUUGAUGCCAUAUCCGAUGCCAAAAGAGGAUGCAUAGAUGAUUGCCACGCUAAUUCUUGCACGCUCCAAUCGAUGUUGUGCAAAAACUAUUGUUGUUUUGUUUGCUUAACCGUCAACCGUAGAGAAACAUCAGAGGGUGAGUUAAUUUGUUUUCAUGUGAUUUUAAAACGUUUCUUUACAUGAUUUUUUUAUCUGAAAGAAUUGGAUACGAUAUCAGUAUUGGAUAAUGUUCACACAUCAUCAUGUUCAAUUCUUGAGAAAUUAUUAUACUAAAACCUUAAUUAUUUUAACCAGAUAAUUAAUCAUCUUCAAUAUUAAUUAAGAAAUUCAUUUUCAUCCUUUUUUUUUCAACUUCAAUUGGAAUUGUUAAAAAAUUCGGCAUAAUAAAUUUAAAAUAAAAAUAAUAACAUUACAAAUUAUAUUGAGACCGUUGUUCUAUUUAUUCUUCAAUAUUUAUUAUUAAUUUAUGCUUUUUAUACAUCUAUGUUUCUUGACUUUGUAAUUUUGAAAUAUUUAUGCUGCAGUUCAUACUCUUGGUAAUGGAGCAUCAAGGAAAAUGAAAGCGCAAAUGAUUAAAGAUCCUACCGAGCCAAAGCACUAAACACUUGGAACAUAAUUAGUUAAUUGAGAUGCAGAACAAGGGAAUCGAACGAUUAUCCGAAGCACGGUUGGCAGAAUGCACUGAAGAUUAAUAUAUAUAAGGCUUUCUCAAGAACAAGGACAAAAUAUUGUAUUACUUAAUUACUAUUUAUACACGUCCUUGUCCUCCUUGCCCUGUUGCCCCUGCUUGUCAUUAACUGCCAUAAUAAUAAUUAUAUCCAUGUCUUUCUCAUUUCUCUUGUUUCUUUCUCAGAAGUUACACUUCUUUUUACUUUUAAAAGGCUCUUGAGAUGACCAAAUAGCAGAGAGAUUCAAAUGGUUAUCACUAAAAAAAAGUAACUUGUGUCAUCGUUAAUUCAAAUUUAAAUUAAGAAGGCGAUUAUAUCACAAUUAAAAAAAAAUAAUGUGUAUUGGCAUUUAGAUGAUUUGUAUCAUAAUUAAUUGAAGAAUAAUUAAAAAGGUAAAUUUUUAUAAUUAAUAACAAUUAUUUUUUAAAUUUUUUUUUUAACAAAAUGAAAACAUAUUUUUGUUGAGUAAGAGAGAGUGAAAAAAAAUAAACAUACAAAUACAUUUAUGUUAUGUACUUUAAUUUAAAUAAGUUGAUUAUAAAUGAUAAUUUAUAAUAAUUAAAUAACGGUGUAAAAUUAUCUUAUAUUUAUAUUGUCAAUGUAUGACCUUUUUUUCAAUUAUUAUUGUUUAAAUUUUUUAUUUAAUAUUUAUGAUUUGUGGUCACUAUCAAAAAAUAAUUUCAUAAUCAAUUUUACACACAAUAAUAAUUAGCAUAAUAUACUGAGACACUUGUUUUUUUUAUCUAACUUAAUUUAGUUUUAUUUUUCCCAUUAAACCUACAUUAAGAAAACAAAUAUUCAAUUUAUUAUUUUAAAAUUAUUUUAAUAAAACUUUACUGGAAUUUAUUAGGUUUAUAAUAUUGUGUUAUUUUUAUUUAUAAUUUUUAUCUUAAAAAUAUUUCUAAAUUUUUAUUAUUUCAUUUUUAAUGAUUAUAAUUACAUAAUACAUUAUUUAAUUAUUGUAUUAAAGAAAUGUAAAAUAUAAAAAUUAAUAAUUAAAAUACUUCCAUAAUUUCAUAAUCAAUUUUUUAUAUACAAUAAUAAUUCUUAAUAUAAUAUGCCAGACACUUUUUUAAUCUUAAUUUAGUUUUAGUUUUACAUUAAAACUACAAUGUAUAAGAAAAUAAAUAUUUUGUGGUUAGAGUGACAUCACUAGAGUAUAAGUGUAAUCUGUCAAAUAGGUUUUGUGUCUUUUAUGGUUAUGUUUGAUAGUUAUUUAGAUUAUAAAUUUUAUUGUCUGAAAAGUUUGUUUAAUUAUUUGAUAAAAAAUAUUAUUUUUUUAAAUGCUAAUUGAAAUAAUAUUUUUUAAAAUUUUAAUUUUUAGUUUUUUAUAAUUUUUUUCUUUAAUAUAUUUAUUAAAUUUCUUUAUUAUCAUUUUUAAACAAAUUAUAAUUUUAUUAUUUUUAUAUUAUUAUAUAUUUUUUAACUACUUCAAUUACUAAUUUUAUCAAACUUUUAUAAUUUAAUAAGUUCAAUCUUAUAAUUUAAAUGGUCAGUUGUUUAUUUUCCAAUUAUUUCAACAACUAAUUCUGUCAUAUAUAUAUAUAUAUAUAUAUAUAUAUAUAUAUAUAUAUAUAUAUAUAUAUAUAUAUAUAUAUAUAUCUUUUAUGAUAAAAAUUAAACAGUUAAUAGGAAAUUUAUAAUAUUCAAAUAUUUUAUUUAAUCAAUUAGGUUAUACUUCUUUGUUAGAAGAUAUGAUUGAAAUACAAGUGAAAUAUGAUAAAUAAGUAUCUAAAUAUAACAGAAUCCGAUAAUAUAUAUAUAUAUAUAUAAUAUAACGUGUGGGUGUUGAUCGAUCGAUAUCCAAUUGAUGGUAUUGAGGCGUUGAGCCUAACACCGAUGGAAUGAUACACGGUUUAUCAGCCUGGUGUGUGUAGCAUGAAGAGGCUAAAGAAGCAUGAGAUCACUCUAUGAUCGACCGGAAUAAGAUCUUAAUGUAUACAUCCAUCAAUGUCAUAAUGCAUGUUUAAAUCAAUCUUUGACCACGCGGGCGUUCCUGCAGGGUCUGGUAGGUUUAAAGGUAUUAGGUUCGGUCCAAUAUCCACUGAAGGGUAUAUAUAUAAUUGCUCAAACGGACAAUAAGAGAAUCAUAAUAACAUGGAUGAUAUUUUAAUGGUAUUAUUAUUAUUGUGUUAGUUAAUGGCAAGCAGAGGAGAGGAGGAAAGCUUCACUGCUCUAGUGCAUUCCACCAAUUGUGCUUCGUUUCGUUCUUCGAUUGUGGGCGGUGAUGGUGCAGUGCCAUCUGCAAUAUAGAGAGAUUUUAAUUUUCAAAAUUACAAACUCAAUACAAAAUAAUAAAUAUAUAUAUAUAUAUAUAUAUAUAUAUAUAUAUAUAUAUAUAUAUAUAUAUAUAUAGUUAUACAUAGAUACUAUAUAUGAAGCUAGCAUAAUUAAUAAUAAACAUUAAAGAGUAAAUAAAACAAUAUUUUAUUUUAAAUGUGAUAAUAAUAUAGUAGAUAUUUUUUCCAAUGUACAUGAACUACUUGCCAAUAUAUGAGAUAUAUAUCUUUAUUUUAUAAAAAGUAAUAGUAAAUAACUUUUUUUUAUCGGUAAGUCUAAAGCUUAGGCUUUAAUUGUUGUACUCUUGGAUCGUUUCUGAAUAUAGUUUGUUAUGUUACAAUUUUCAUUCGAAAAUUAGCAUGGCAAAUUUGUAAACAAAACACAUUUGAAGUAAAAGUUAAAAAAAAUGUUAAUUACAAUAAUGCAUUUUUUCUUUGACGAUUAUUGUUUGACAAAAUAUGUAAUUAAACACUAACAUUUAGAAUAUGAGAGAAUUGAGUGCUUGUAGUUAUGUAUACGCACACAACCUAGACACAUUACUGUGAGAAUUGUUUGCCAAUAUCUCGUUAAUAUUCAAGAUUAUAUAGCAUGUAACUAUUUUCAUUCGAAAACUGGCAUGGCAAACUCGUCCCUGACCUGCCAUGUUGCAUGCCUUAUGAAAAUGAAUUUGUUAAUUAAUAUUCAAGAUGAUUAUCAUUUAUCUGAUUAAUAUAAUUCAGUUUUUAUAAUAUUUUAUUAUUAAAAUAUUCUAAGGGAGACAUAAAAAAUCACAUGGAAACAAAUUAACUUACUUCCUGGCUUAGGGUCUAAGCACCGUAUAUAACAAAACAAAUUGCACAAAGUCCCGCGUGGAAAGCAACCACGUUCGUGGCAAAUAGUUAAGCAUCUCUUUCUGUAAUCUGUGUAGAGGUCGGCAUCAACACUUGCAGCGACUAUAAAGCAUACCAGCAACAACAAUGCAGUGUAUUUAUUUGCCAUUUCGGUUCGCCCCUAAUGAUCUUUUCUUCUUCUGCAGUUGCUGGUGGUUUAUUUUUUCUCCUUCAAUUCCUCUCCCUAGCCUAGUUUUGGAUGAUAAACAUGGUAUAUAUAGCUGUCUAAAUAGUUCAUGAACCGCAAUCAGUGUCAUGGUUUGUUUCUAAAAUUUGGGUUUCUUGUCAGUUAUAGUGUUGUAAUUGUAACAAAAGAAAUUAGAAAUUAGCACAUUAACUAUCAAAUAUCAAUUAUCAAUCAUAUUAGUAUUAUAAAAAGAUCAUGUGUGGACUCUUUUUUAUUUGUAGGAAUAAAACACACAUAAAAAAGAUUUAUAAUAAUUUAUAUAUUAUCUUUAAUCAAUUGAGUUAGACAUCAUUAGUUUGUCAUGUAAAUAAAUAUAACAUAUAUAGCAAUACUAUAUUUGUUCUUUUCCCAUUGAAAUGCAGUUUUAAAAAUUAUUUUAUUUUUUAAUUCAUGAAAGUAUUACAUAAAUGCAAUUAAAAUUAUUUCUAUUUUAUUUUUUAACAUUUUUUAAUGAUAAAUGUUACUAUUUUUUAGUUACAUUCUUUUUCUAACAUUUUUUUAAGAAAAUGUUGCUAGUUUAAUUACGUUAGUUAUAUUUUUUUUGUAACAAUUCUAAUAAUAAAUGUUACUUGCAACCACACUUUUUUUACCAAUUUUAACAACCAAUAAAAUUAAUAGCUAAUUUUAAGCCAAAUAAUAAUUUAUUAGCUACAAUUUUAUAGUAACUAAAACUAAUUUAUUUUGACAAGUGAAUUAAAUAUUUGUAUAUUUAUUACAAUACAAUUUAUUUUUUGUAAUUUAUUUUCCCCCAACACGACUCAAUUACGUUAUCUCCCUCCUUCGCUGAUUUUCUCUGAUUUCGUGUUUCUUGUGAAGAUUUUCUUCUCAUAUUAUCUUUCUCGUUCUCUAAAAUAAAAACCAUUUUGAAUAUCUUAUUGCAACUUUUGAUAUCAAAGACAGUUUGAUUGUGGCAAGUUACUAACAACAAUAUAAUGCAUGUAUCAUCUAUCAUUGGAUGAUAAUGAAUGAGAUAGAAAUUUAGGCAAGAGAAAUGCUAGUUACAUUCUAUCUAACAUUUCUACUAAUUUUUUUAGAUCUUGCUUUUAAAUCAAGAGAAAAAAUUAUUAAAUAAAAAAAUUAAAGACCACAAAAAAAUUAAUAAUUUUCAAUGAAAUUCAACUAAUAAUAAAGAAAAUGUCGUUAGCAUUGAUCUCUUUAGGCAAAAGAUUGAUGAGUGUAAGAAGAAAAAUAUAUCCACACAUAAUACUGAUAUUAAAACUUAUGAGCUCAUAUAUUAUUAAAAUUUUCAUUAUUAAGUCAAUCCUAAUAGUUCAAACAAAUGAUCAAUAAAUUUGACCAUAACUUAUUGUUACAAGAGAGUCUUAUAAAAUUGAGAAAUUAUUAGAGGGUAUUAGACCACCAUCUAGUCCAUAGUCACUAUUAAUCUCUGCAUAAUAUAUAAUCAAAUUUAUUAAUUAGUUAAUUACUUUAUCUUAAAUUAAAAAAAAAAAUAAGUCAUACAUGGAUAAUUGAUCUGGAUCAUCAACAUGUGGCAUCUAAUAAUUUUUUUCAUAAAAUCACCCUCAAAGGCACGAAACAAGAUCACUCGAUUCACAUUUUUUUUUUGGCAGUAACAAUGAAAGAAUUAAAAUUGUGAUAAUAAUAUAACCAAUCAAUUUUAUACCUCAUCAAAAUUAAGUACUAGUAUAAAUUAAUAAAAAAACCACUAGUAAAAAAAAUUAACGAAUUGAAAAGUCCUAGCAAAAUACAAAUAACUUAAUAAACUUCAAGACUGAAUAAAAUAACAAGAACUUCAGUUUCCAUUUUUUUUUUUACAUAUAUACAUUAAAAUGCAAAAGUACGAUAAAUACUCCCCCAAAUGUGGGGUCUGAGACAAUCUUAAAAUCUAAGGUAAUGGCCACACGGUAAAGAAUAUAAUAUAUAGAAACAUAAUAUCUAUAUAUGUAUAAAGUAGGUCUUCACAAAUCAUAAGAUAUGGCGAACACACAAGCUAGUAGUAUUUGAGAAGAGCAAAUCCAAGUGCAAUGAAGAGAAGAGAAGGUGAGACACUGUAAGAUGUCAUGGCAGAUGAUGGAGAGAGAUUAGUGCGACCACUUCCAGUUGGUACAGAUGGGUUACCAGAAUCCGCUGAUGGAGAUGGUGGAGUCAAAAGAGAGGGAGUAGUUGUGUCAGAUUGUGGUGCCAGAGAAGGUGAAGUUGGUGAUGGGAGAACAGUAGAAGCUGUUCAAAGAUAAAUUAGAGUAUGAUAUUAGUAUCACACUAAAGAAGUUCUUGGCCACUAAAAAUGUUACUAUAUAUGCAUGUACUAAAAUGAAAUAAUUAAUUAACCUUGAGGACUAGGGGUUGGAGUAAAUCCAGAGGGAGCAGAUGGAGCUGAUGCUGGCGAAGGAGAUGGUCCAAGAGACACUGGUCCUGCGCAUGUUUAAUAAAAUCAUUCAAAAGCUUAGUUACAAUUAAUGGUAAAAAUAAUUAUAUUAUAUAUAAGAAAUUUUAGGCAAAAUAUACAUAUUGAAAUUGAAAUGGAAGUUUUGCGUUUUGGCAUUACCAGGAGCAGGGAGUGGUGAACCCGAGGCUGCAAAAUAAGUAAAGGCAAAAAAGUCACACACCUUAAUUAAUUAGCUUAAUUGAUAAACAAGAUUAAGAAUAAAAUCUAGGAUGAGUUACACUUUAUUUUUCUAUAACUUUUUAACUUACUUUCCUAUAUGUCUUUUUAUUGUUAAAUAUUUUGAAGUUUAGAUUAAAAUAAAUAAUUCUGUAAUUACAAUUUUAGUUAUCGUUAAUAAACAUAGAAAUAAGCCUAAUACAAAUAAUGAAAUUUAACAUUUGUUAUAACUUAAAUUUCAGAAAAUUUAGAUAGUUGGAUAUUAUUAGUGGAGAGAGUUAAAAAAUAGUUUUACUCUCAAAGCAGUAAUCCCUUCCUUCUUUGUUUUGUAUGUUGAAAUCCAGAAAUAUACAUUGAAAUUUAUAAAAACAAUUUUCCAACUUUUAUCCAAAAAAAUCCUAAAAUUAAGUGUGUGUGUGUGUGUUUUUUUACAAGUUAAAAUUAAAUUAUGCAUAAGGCAAUCUAUUGUGUGCCUUUUCAAAAUCUGACUUUAACUUAUCUAACUUUAAAUAUUUAUGGGAGAAGUUUAAUUUAUUUGAAUUUUCUUUUCUUUUUUAACAAGUUCUUAUUAAGAGGACCUUAGUCAUUAAAAAGC
rnacentral:lncRNA from 1 species